CCUACGGGAGGCAGCAGUGGGGAAUAUUGCUCAAUGGACGAGAGUCUGAACCAGCAACGUAGCGUGAAGGAUGACGGCCCUAUGGGUUGUAACCUUCUUUUAUAUGGAAGUAAAUUGUUCCACGUGUGGGAUUUUGUAUGUACCAUAUGAAUACAGAUCGGCUAACUCCGUGCCAGCAGCCGCGGUAAUACGGAGGGUCCGAGCGUUAUCCGGAUUUAUGGGGUUUAAAGGGAGCGUAGGUGGAUUGUUAAGUCAGUUGUGAAAGUUUGCGGCUCAACCGUAAAAUUGCAGUUGAAACUGGCAGUCUAGAGUGUAGGAGAGGUGGGCGGAAUUCGUGGUGUAGGGGUGAAAUCCGUAGAUAUCACGAAGAAUACCGAUUGCGAAGGCGGCAUACCGGUGCAUAACUGACGCUCAGGCACGAAAGCGUGGGUAGCGAACAGGAUUAGAUACCCGGGUAGUC
rnacentral:rRNA from 1 species